AGUCAAUAGAUACCCGGGUAGUCCAUGCCGUAAACGAUGAUUGCUAGGUGUGGGGGGUCUGACCCCUUCCGUGCCGGAGUUAAACACAAAUAAGCAAUCCACCUGGGGAGUACGGCCGCAAGGUUGAAACUCGAAGGAAUUGACGGGGGCCCGCACAAGCAGUGGAGUAUGUGGUUUAAUUCGAAGCAACGCGAAGAACCUUACCAGGUCUUGACAUCCACCGAAUCCUGUAGAGAUACGGGAGUGCCCUUCGGGGAACGGUGAGACAGGUGGUGCAUGGUUGUCGUCAGCUCGUGUCGUGAGAUGUUGGGUUAAGUCCCGCAACGAGCGCAACCCUUGUGAAUAGUUGCUACGAAAGAGCACUCUAUUCAGACCGCCGUUGACAAACGGAGGAAGGUGGGGAUGACGUCAAAUCAUCAUGCCCCUUAUGACCUGGGCUACACACGUACUACAAUGGCCGUUAACAGAGGGAUGCAAUGCCGCGAGGUGGAGCGAACCCCUAAAAACGGUCUCAGUUCAGAUUGCAGGCUGAAACUCG
rnacentral:rRNA from 1 species